GACGAACGCUGGCGGCGUGCCUAACACAUGCAAGUCGAACGAAGCUUUGAGGAGCUUGCUUUUUAAAGCUUAGUGGCGGACGGGUGAGUAACGCGUGAGCAACCUGCCUCUCAGAGGGGGAUAACGUUUUGAAAAGAACGCUAAUACCGCAUAACAUAUCGGAACCGCAUGAUUCUGAUAUCAAAGGAGCAAUCCGCUGAGAGAUGGGCUCGCGUCCGAUUAGUUAGUUGGUGAGGUAACGGCUCACAAGACUACGAUCGGUAGCCGGACUGAGAGGUUGAUCGGCCACAUUGGGACUGAGACACGGCCCAGACUCCUACGGGAGGCAGCAGUGGGGGAUAUUGCGCAAUGGGGGAAACCCUGACGCAGCAACGCCGCGUGAAGGAAGAAGGUCUUCGGAUUGUAAACUUCUUUUGUCAGGGACGAAGAAAGUGACGGUACCUGACGAAUAAGCUCCGGCUAACUACGUGCCAGCAGCCGCGGUAAUACGUAGGGAGCGAGCGUUGUCCGGAUUUACUGGGUGUAAAGGGUGCGUAGGCGGCCGAGCAAGUCAGUUGUGAAAACUAUGGGCUUAACCCAUAACGUGCAAUUGAAACUGUCCGGCUUGAGUGAAGUAGAGGUAGGCGGAAUUCCCGGUGUAGCGGUGAAAUGCGUAGAGAUCGGGAGGAACACCAGUGGCGAAGGCGGCCUACUGGGCUUUAACUGACGCUGAGGCACGAAAGCAUGGGUAGCAAACA
rnacentral:rRNA from 1 species